UCCUCGCUCCACACUCUCAUUAGUUUAAGUGUGAGGCUCUCGGAAGAGCACAAGAAGAGGAUCGGGUGUUUGUUGGGGAGGGGAAAGGGUUUGCCUCCUCCUUGUGCUCUUCUCUCUCUACUCGACAGAGCCGAUGAUCAUCUUCUUCGUCAAACGCCAAAACCCUAACCCUCUCUAUCUCUCUCUAGAGAUAGAUAGAUAGAUAGAUCGAUCGAUCGAUGGGCAAAGAGGCGAUGAUGGUUUCUGAGCCCUACUCUCAAGCAAACUACUAAUGGUGAUAGUUUUUUUUGUAAUUUAUUCUAUUCGUUUUUGAGUCGCCAUUUUACUAGGCUUUUAUUUAUUUAUUUAUUCAUUUGGUUUUGCUGAUGUUGGUAUUGGCUUUUGAUGUCUUAGGGUUUCUGUUAUUUUCAUUCUAAUUUUUUUUGUUAAAUAUUUGUUAAUAUCUCGAAUUUCUCGAGCCCAUUGAAGAGUAGCCGCAAAAUGUUUGUGGCAAACGCAGGCACAAAGCAGAACAGGUAAUUUUAUACUUAUGCGUGUAGAGCUACUAGGCUUCUAGAGGUAUAAAGGAGUUGAUGCUUUCGACUUUUUGGCCUUUGGAUUAAGGAUUGUAGGGUUAGGAUUUAGUGGUCAAUCUAGGAUUUAGCGGUCUCUCUAGAGAAAUAAUAUUAAUCCAAAUGUUAGAAAUGGUCGAAAGGGUUGAAUCGAAGGUUAAUAAAUUGGAAGCACCACCUAUGUGGUGUUUCCGGAAGCAUCAUCGUCGGACUCUUCUUAUGAAUGCUUCUCCGGCGGUGGUUUAGUGCUCGAAUUUUACAGCAUUGGAGUGAAGAGUAAAAGGGCUUUUGAAACUUUUGACUGUGGCUAAAAACAUCUUGUUUUUAUGCUAUAGAAUGUCCAAAAAAAUUAAAAAUGUUUUCAAUUUUUUUUUCUCCUUUUAUCUUGUAAAAUUGGGGUUGCAAUCUCCAGCAUCAGCAAGAGCUACGUCCAAAUUGACCACAAUUUUAUAAGAGGUAAACCUUCCUACCUACUUACCUUCUAAAUGAAAAAAGUUAUAUAAAUUUUCUUCUAUAUUGGGGGUAAUCCUACCAUGAUAAAAUUUGUGGAUACAGUUUUCAAUUGUGUGCAACUAAACAAAUUAUUUAUGGUUGUAGCGUUGUCUACUGUAUUCAACCAAACAAGCUACAUUUAGUUGUAAUUGUUUCAUUGUCAACUACAGGAAAUUCUAACUACACUGUAAUUACAAUUGCAUCCGACCAAAUGUCCACUUUACAAUAAAAAGAGUUCGGAGCGGAAGCAUGUGGAGCUAUUUAUCUCUGUUUUUAGAUAGGACCAAUAAAAAUCAAUUUUGAGUUAGAGCUAGCCCCACAACACAAAUGGAGUUGUAAUUCGACAAGUCCAUUGUCUAAGUGCCAACCUUUUUAUACUCUAAACAGGGAGGUAGUUUUUAUGUAGCAGCUACACCGUAUCAUUUAUGUCCAAGCCAAUCACAUCUCUUCUUUUGAGAUAAAAGUGCAACAAAACUAUUUUUCUCAUGUUAUUACUCUAGAAAACAAGCACAAUAUUUUCCCAUUGCACUUUAGGGUAGUACUCUUGGUCAACACAUUUCCUAACUAGGCCUUAAAGGUAGGCUGGUUAAGCAAUCUUCUCAAAAUAGGUCAAUUUGGCCAUGUUUUAGAUAAGUUCUAUACAUUUUUACCUACAAUUCAACUAAGGGUGCCUCUUCACCGGAGGAUUGGGUGUUCUUCGGAAGGGUUUGCCGCCUGCUACGCUCUCCCUUUUUAUCUCUUCUAGAACCGAUGACUCUAGUUUCAAAAUGCAAAACCCCUUCCUAGGGACCAAGUCGGAAUAUUGUUAAAGUACAGAGGCUAGGCUAUCCAUGCAUUUUACCCAUACAAAUUAAGUAUUGAUGAUGAUCAAUGAGACCAUCAUCUUGCUUUUGGACAACUGAUACUGGUGAUGGCUUAUCAGAGAUCCAAAAUCUCUCUAACAAAAUUCUCUUUAUUCAUCCGUUCUAUCUUUUGCACUUUUGGUGUGCUGCCAUUUUAUUGAGGAUUUUCUCCUUUCUUUUUUUCUCAACCAUAUAUUGAGAUUUUCUUUUUUCUUUUACGAUUUCGUUUAGUUUACGUUUUGUCUUUUAAUAAAGUUUCUUUUAGUUUUUGAUCUUGAUGGAGUUUGGUUUGCUGCUGUGAUGUUGGACUUGCCUCUACGGAAGCCGACCCCCUCUAUUGGGAGCUCCAUACAAAAGUUUUAGCAAACUGUAUGGUGAUUCCCCUUUUCUUUCAUAAUCCGUUUUCAAAGAGGUAAUGAUGUCGGAUUCCUUCCCCUAGCUGGCGUUUACUAGUGAUGCAAAUGGAUCUGGGUUGAUAGAGCUCCCUAUUACGGACUUAAGCUAGGGAAAUCUUGGAGAAAAUUCCUAAGUCCUAGCAUCCCGCCCAAUCCUGGGUCCCAAAAAUAAAAACCCCCCCAAAAAAAAAACUUGUCCCAAAUCUGCCCUGAUCCGGUGAGCAAAUGGAGUGGUAGGCAGGGCCCCUUCCUUCCCUUGAUCGGUCCCAAUAUGCCAAAUACUCGCUUUUGCCCCAAAUGAAGUGUUAAGUGGGGGUAAAAGAUAAAGAUAAAAAUAGAUCUGCCCUGACGCGCCAAGGAACUGCGGUGUGAGGUGGGGGACCCCUCGCGCGUCCGGAUCUGCCCCGGUUGCACCCCUAGCAUUUUCUGAUCCUGUAUGAAAUUGCUGUUACGAUGAAGACUUUCUCGCCAUCUAAGAGGAGGGCCUGGUAGAAGUUUCGUCUUCUAUGAGAUCUGAAUACUUCUCUAUCCUCUUACUGUGAAAUUCUAAAAUGAAAGCAUUUGACGGCAACUCGGUAGCGCAGCUUGGAUGGCACCAUGGCAAAUGCUGCAGCCAUGCAUGGGGAGUGGAGAGGAGGAUCUCUCUUUCUAGUAAAUGAAAGGCGAUGAAGACUGGCGAUUGAUCAGGUUAUGAUUUAUCAGAGAUCCAGAACCUCUCUAUCCUGCAACGAAAUUCUCCGGUAUAGCCGUAACAUCUUGUGGUUUCUCAAUGCUGGGAUGAGGAGGCAGUUUGGAUGGCCCAGUGGCGGCAACUGCUUUAGCUAUUCGCUCCGUGCUUUUCCAAACAGCUCUUAACUGAACAGCGCGACACCCUGCUCGGAAAGAAAUGGGUGUGGACAGGAUGUGAGAUGAGAGGAUUAGGCGCUCUUUGUUUGUCUUUUCUUUUCUGCGAAGGUUGCAUUUGGUGUUUUGAUCUUGUUAUGUUUGAGGUUUUUAUGCUGCAGUGUUUGAUCUUGUUAGUCUCAGCCGCCGGGUGUGGAUGUCGCCCGCACUCUCUGUGGUAGUGCACCAGAAACCAUUGAGCAUCUACUGUUUGUGAUAUAAUUCCUUGUUGUCCAAGUGCGCACAUUAUUGGAGAUGAAGAUGAUGCUGCAAAAUAAGUAUAGGUCUCUUAAGAUUAUUUGAAUUACUUGAAGCUUAAAUAUUUCUCUUUGCUAUAACUUGCCAAAAGUGGCAUGCACCAAUGGGACAGUUUUGAGUGUUCUACCUAGUGAAUCUUUACUAGA